UAUUGCUCAAUGGUGGAGUGCUUGCCUAGCAUGCAAGAGGCCAUGGGUUCAAUCCCCAGUA
rnacentral:tRNA from 1 species